rnacentral:rRNA from 1 species
CCCUUAGAUGUUCUGGGCUGCACGCGCGCUACACUGAUGCAUCCAACAAGUUUUUUCCUUGUUCGAGAGGACUAGAUAAUCUUAUGAGAAUGCAUCGUGAUAGGGAUAGAUCAUUGCAAUUAUUGAUCUUGAACGAGGAAUUCCUAGUAAACGCGAGUCAUCAGCUCGCAUUGAUUACGUCCCUGCCCUUUGUACACACCGCCCGUCGCACCUACCGAUUGAAUGUUUCGGUGAAGAUUCCGGAUAGGACUUUUUUGAUUUAUUUCAAUUUUGUCUUAAAAGCUAUCUAAACCUCAACAUUUAGAGGAAGGUGAAGUCGUAACA